rnacentral:lncRNA from 1 species
AGCCUAUAUAUAUAUAUAUAUAUAUAUUAAUUAAAAUUUUUAUAUUACGUUGUAUUCUCAAAAUGUGCAUUUAUAUAUAAAUAUUAUUUAAUUUUUUUAUUUUUUUUUUUUAUUUAUUUGUUUGUUUGUUCGUUUGUUUGUUUAUUUAUUUAUUUUUUUUUUUUCCAAUUGACAAAAAAAAGAGAAAAAUAGAAAAAGAAAAAAAGACACAAAGAUUAUAAAAUAUUUUUAUGCAUAAAAAUAAAACAUUAUAUUGUAGUUUUGCUUUUCUUUCAUUCAUUCUUUCUUUUUUUUUUUUUUUUCUUUUUCCUUUUUUUUUUAAAUAUAAAAAAAUUGCAUACACGUGGUAUAAAGACGUAUUAUACUUCUUCAGUAUAUUUUACUUACCUACAACAAAAAAAAAAAAAAAAAAAAAAUAGGCACAAUUAAAAUUAUUUUUGUUUUUCUAGAUGUUAAAAUGUCAAAAGACAAAAACAAUCUUAAAGUAGAAUCAUUAAGAGUAAAAUCGUAUAAGCAACAAACGGACCCACCAGAAAAAUGUAUCAAUCUUAAAAAAACAAUAAAAGACUCAGAAAAGGGCGCCAAUACAUGCACUAAAGAACAAAAUGAAUAUUCUAACCUUAGUGAAAAAAAAACGCAAACAAAAGGCAAGGGUAUAAAAAUUGAAAAAAGCAGAAUAGGCCUUAUAAAAAAUCGUAACACAACUGUAGAAAAAAAAAAAGAAACAAUCAAAUCGAAGUCGCCAUAUAUAACAAAUGAUACUAAAAAUAGUAAAGACGGUAAAAACAAAUAUAACAGCAAAAAUAAGGAAAACAAAAGUGUUGUAACUGACAUAAAUAAAGGAUAUACAAACAAUAUAAAUAAUAAAACAAACAAACAUAAAUCCAUUAAAUGCGAUAAUAAUAAUAAUGAUAAUAAUAAUGGUCAUAGUGAACAAAAACAAUCACAGUUAAAAAAAAUAAAUAGCAAUGAUGAAUUCCUUAUUAACCUUUUAAAAAAAAAAGAUAUACAUACUCAAGGAGUGAAAUAUGAAGAAGCCAAAAUAACUGAAAAGAAAAAAAAAAAUCCUCAUCAAGUAGUCAAUCAAUGACAGAUAGCUCAAAAAGUGAUGAUAUCGAUACGGUAGAUAUUUUAAAUGAGUAUAAAAAAAAAAAAAAAAAAAAAUUAGAACAAGAAAAAAAAAGGUUAAUAAAAGAAAGAAAAAAAAAACUAAUAAAAAAAUG